rnacentral:rRNA from 1 species
GCCUCACACCUUCGGAUGAACCCAUAUGAGAUUAGCUAGUAGGUGGGAUAAAGGCUCACCUAGGCGACGAUCUCUAGCUGGUCUGAGAGGAUGAUCAGCCACACUGGGACUGAGACACGGCCUAGACUCCUACGGGAGGCAGCAGUGGGGAAUAUUGCACAAUGGGCGCAAGCUUGAUGCAGCCAUGCCGCGUGUAUGAAGAAGGCCUUAUGGUUGUAAAGUACUUUCAGUCGUGAGAAAGGUGCUAAAAUUAAUAAUUUUAGCAAUUGACGUUAACGACAGAACAAGCACCGGCUAACUCCGUGCCAGCACCCGCCGUAAUACGGACGGAGCAAGCCUUCUCUUGACUUACUGUGCGUUUGGUUCACUCACGCAGUGUUGUUUGAUUUGACGCACGAUUUAUUGUGCUUU